GGAUGAACGCUGGCGGCGUGCUUAACACAUGCAAGUCGAACGAAGCACCUUGAUUUGAUUCUUCGGAUGAAGAUCUUGGUGACUGAGUGGCGGACGGGUGAGUAACGCGUGGGUAACCUGCCUCAUACAGGGGGAUAACAGUUAGAAAUGACUGCUAAUACCGCAUAAGACCACAGCACCGCAUGGUGCAGGGGUAAAAACUCCGGUGGUAUGAGAUGGACCCGCGUCUGAUUAGGUAGUUGGUGGGGUAGCGGCCUACCAAGCCGACGAUCAGUAGCCGACCUGAGAGGGUGACCGGCCACAUUGGGACUGAGACACGGCCCAAACUCCUACGGGAGGCAGCAGUGGGGAAUAUUGCACAAUGGGGGAAACCCUGAUGCAGCGACGCCGCGUGAGCGAUGAAGUAUUUCGGUAUGUAAAGCUCUAUCAGCAGGGAAGAAAAUGACGGUACCUGACUAAGAAGCACCGGCUAAAUACGUGCCAGCAGCCGCGGUAAUACGUAUGGUGCAAGCGUUAUCCGGAUUUACUGGGUGUAAAGGGAGCGUAGACGGAGUGGCAAGUCUGAUGUGAAAACCCGGGGCUCAACCCCGGGACUGCAUUGGAAACUGUCAAUCUAGAGUACCGGAGAGGUAAGCGGAAUUCCUAGUGUAGCGGUGAAAUGCGUAGAUAUUAGGAGGAACACCAGUGGCGAAGGCGGCUUACUGGACGGUAACUGACGUUGAGGCUCGAAAGCGUGGGGAGCAAACAGG
rnacentral:rRNA from 1 species